UACGGAGGGGGCUAGCGUUGUCCGAAGUUACUGGGCGUAAAGCGCGCGUAGGCGGGUUGGUAAGUCCGCUGUGAAAGCCCGGAGCUCAACUCCGGAGGGUCGGUGGAUACUGCCAGUCUUGAAGGUGCUAGGGGGAGAUGGAAUUACCGGUGUAGCGGUGAAAUGCGUAGAUAUCGGUAGGAACACCAGUGGCGAAGGCGGUCUCCUGGGGCAUUCUUGACGCUGAGGCGCGAAAGCUGGGGGAGCAAACAGG
rnacentral:rRNA from 1 species